CCUACGGGUGGCAGCAGUGAGGAAUAUUGGUCAAUGGGCGAGAGCCUGAACCAGCCAAGUCGCGUGAGGGAAGACGGUCCUACGGAUUGUAAACCUCUUUUGUCAGGGAGCAAGGAGCGCCACGAGUGGUGCGGCGAGAGUACCUGAAGAAAAAGCAUCGGCUAACUCCGUGCCAGCAGCCGCGGUAAUACGGAGGAUGCGAGCGUUAUUCGGAUUUAUUGGGUUUAAAUGGUGCGCAGGCGGAGACGGCAAGUCAGCGGUAAACUUUCGGGGCUCAACAUCGCCGAGCCGUUGAAACUUCUCUUCGAGAGUGGGCGAGAAGUAUGCGGAAUGCGUGGUGUAGCGGUGAGAUGCAUAGAUAUCACGCAGAACUCCGAUUGCGAAGGCAGCAUACCGGCGCCCAACUGACGCUCAUGCACGAACGCGUGGGUAUCGAACAGGAUUAGAUACCCGAGUAGUC
rnacentral:rRNA from 1 species